CAUCAUUAAGGAAUUGUUCUGGGCACACUGCCCAUAUUUGAUUUGUUUCUGAUUCAGGAGGCUUAUUAUCACAAAUCCAUACAGUAGAAAAGGAUUACUUAAGUCUUUUACAAGAAAUAAACUACAUAUAAAGCUGGUCUGUGGAGGAGUAAUAUGACACUUCUUAUAGACUAGGAAAUGUGUUUUUCAUUUAUCUCCUUUUUUCCCUUUCGUCUUUAUUUUCUUUUGUAUUUUUCCUCUGCUCUUCUCUUUUUGCUCUUUCCUUAUUUUAUUAUCACGUAUGUGCUUUGAUAAAAUAGGUAGUCAAGGGUCACUUUAUAGUUCUCUUAAUUACACCUAUUUGUAUUUUUUAAAAGUCUCUAAGAGAAGUGCUUACCCACACUGUUUUUCCCUUCAUUCUUCAUAUUUUAGCCCCUCUUUUUUUUUUUUUUUUUUUUGGUGCUAUGUUAAAAUAAAUUCAAAAAUCACUUUUCUAAUUAUCUUAAUUACACCCUUUUGGUAUUCCUUUAACAUUUUUAAGAAAAAUGCUUAUACAAAUUUGAAGAUAUACGACCCUCCACAUUUUCUUGCUCACCCUUAUUUUUACACCACAAUUGAUAAGGGAACCAGAGGUAAAAUUUACUAUCUACCCCCGUAACAGAAGUGCUGAUACAUUAUGCAUAUUGUAGUAUGUGCUCUAAAUAAUUCCUAUUUAACUUAACUCAAAUAUAUAUUGUUUAUAAGCAUUUUCUUUUUCAUGAAAAAAAGGGUAUAAUAAAUUUAAACAAAUUUUUCCGACCGCGCGAAGUGCGGGCUCAUUGAGUAGUAUAUAUAUAAAGCAGGGCACUCAGCCAGUGACGUAGCAUCUCUCGCUGAUCAGAAAACGUGUUUAUCUCUUCUCUCAGAUUUGAGGACUUUUCUCACCGAUUUCACAGAAAAAAAAAAAAAAAAAAAAAAAAAAAGAAAGAAAGAAAAAAAAAGGAACAAUUAUUAAAAAUCUAAAAAUUAAGGUUCAGUCGCAACGUCCAAAUAAUAAGGAAGCAGAAAAGGCACUGCCUUUUUCCAUUCUUUGUAACCUGUUCGCUACCAAAUUCUUCUUCCUUUUCAACUUCUUCUUCGUUUCAACACCAACCACACCAAAAAUAUAGUUAAUCAAUUUAAACAAUCAAUCAGCCAUUUCAGUUUCAAUCGCGAAGAAAUCAACAGUACUAAAAAAAAAAAAAAAAAAACAUUGACCCCGACAAUCGUUUCAAACCGAAGCUUAAAAAUCUGUUGCAUCUAAGGGCGAGAAAAAGCCAACAAGGAAGAGUGUUUUACCAUCUGUGAGAAAUAUUGAAGCCCUUAUAUUGGGUUUCACCAUUUUUUUGCCUCAUUCGUCGGAGCCGGAGCAACAAUCCACCGGGUCACGGAGAUUCUGGUGAAACUCUUUUCCUCUUCUUCUUUUUCUCUCUUCCCAUUAUUUUUUCUUUCACAUUGUUUGCUGAGAAUGGGUUUGAUGCUUAGAAAAAAAGAGUGAAAAAAAAAACAUAGAAUAGCAACUGUAAUAGGUCUUUGCAGCAUUUACAAGUUAUAUUAUUAUAUUGAAGUGCGCUUAGUAAUAUUCAAAAUGACAUAUUUUUCCAGUUUCCAUUGCAUUUACUUGCUCAAACUCUAAGUUGGAAUUUUAUUUAUAUGAUCGUUCCACAAAGGAAGCAAAUUAAAGUAGUAUACCACCAGUCAUGAACUAUGAUAUUUUUUUGGUAUCGUUCAAUAUUUGUGAAACAUAUAUAAUUAUCUGGAUUUAACUGCUUGUCUAUUUGUAUCAAAUAUUUUUUAUUUUCGCUUCAUUUUAGGUUUUUUUGUAGCAGUCAUGCUUGUAUAUUUGGUUAUUUUGCCAUCGAUUUUGUGAGAUUUGAUUGUUCUUGAAUUUGUUCACUUAAUGAGUUUUUCAGUAACUUUUUAUGCAUUCAUAAUGACAUAAGAUGUUUGUUUGCUGUUUGUUGUAUCUGUUUGUGCAUCAACUUCAUGAUUUCUGCUUAAUGUUCCAUUUAAAUUCGGCUUAAUUACUUAAUAAGAUCCAGACUUUGUCUUUCUUAGUUCAGAUUGAGAUAAACAAGACUUAACUUUCAACCAAAUUUCAUGUUUUCUUUUGUUCAUUCCAAAGAAGUGUAAAGGAGGCAAAUGAUAUAGCAAGAAAGAUUAAAAAAUAAGUGUGUCUGAUUUUAUUUUGGUUUAGCAUCCUUAAGUAAAGGGUUCAUCAACAGAACAAUCUGCAU